AGUCAACUCAACUCAGUCUUUUAAGUCAAGACUCUUCUUCUUCUUCGUUUUCAUCUUCACCGUUUUCUUCAGUUUCAAGCAAAACUCUUACUCUACUACUCACACACACACACACAGUUAGUAGAAAUGGAGGGAAGGUUCCACAGUCGAGGUCUGGAGCAAGGAAGAUGGGUUUCAGAACGCCUGGUUCUCCGCCGUACGUCAUUCUCGAACCACCGACCCAUACUCUCAAUCCUUCUCCCUCUCUCUCUCUCUCUCCCGUCCAGAAGAAGACGAAGCGUACCAAAAACGACAACUCAAAGGUCGUCGUUCGAUAUCCACACAUGCUCGCCGACGACGGCAAGGAGCUUCUUGUUGAGAAGAUCGACAGCUUUUUCGUCAGGCCAACUCCUCCUCCACCUGACACGGAGCCCGAUAAGCCAUUUGCGCAAAACGACGUCGUUGAUGCCUUGCACCACGAUAUCUGGUGGACCGGAGUCAUCAUCAACGUCGAAAACGACAACUAUACACUGUUCGCUUCGCCAUCCCACCUGAUCUUCUCUACUGCAACCGCUCUCAGCUCCGACCCCACUGGGAUUGGGUCGAUAAGAAAUGGGUACGGUCUGGAAAAUAGGAAAAUAAGUAUUCGAAAUUCAGACCAGGAACAACAGUGGAAGUGAAACUCAUGAGUACUGAAAAUGAGGGCCUCAACUUCUGUUCUGGUGAAGUAUAAGACGACAAAUAAAGAUUAUGCUGAGAAAGUUUCUGUAGCACAACUGGAGAUGAUUCGACCCCAACCUCCAAAAAUGAGUGAGGAUGAUAAAGAUUUUGAGUUGUGGGAGAAGGUGGAUGCUUUUUGUGAUUUGGGUUGGUCAGUUGGGGAGGUCACCAAAAUUCUUCAACACAGAAAGUAUGGUGUUGCUGUUGCUUUUGGGGUGUAGAAGAAGGAGAUGAAGUUUGAUCACACUCAACUGCGCUUUCACUUGGAUUGGGUUGAUGGAAAAUGGGUUAACAAAUCAAGGGAGGAGAACCUAUCUACACUAGUUAGUCGGCAAAAAUCAACAUGUGAUGAAGGUAGAGGUAUUGGGUCAUCGGCCUUAAAUGGAAGUUUGGGUUGUGUUACCGAAAUAGGAACAUAUCGUUCAACAAAUGCGCAUGACAAUCAAAAAUGUCUCCUCCUGGUGUUGAUAAUUCAUCAACAUUUGAACUUGAAGAGCUGCAACUCUCAACUGCAGCUUUCAGCUUUAAUGGCGGUGCUUGAAAACGACGACAUUGAAGAAGGCUACUUCUAUGAGCUUUCCCAUGCCAAGCUCCCUCCCGAAUCCCCGGAGCACCUCUACUCAGUCCGGGUUGUAAUGGUACGUUCUUCCACUCUUUUUUUUUUUCUUUCUUUCUUUCCUUUUUAAUACAAGUCACAUAUAAAUUACACAUUAUUAAUAAUCAUAGAUAAUAUUAGAUAAAUAAUAAACUCUCUUCUCUCCAAGUCCAACUACUCAACUCUCUUCUCUCUCUCUGCAAACGACCACAAUGAGCUUAUGGGAUUACUGGAUUGAAGAGGCUCUUUCAAAGCUCGACUCUUUGCAACUCAACUCCUCCGUUCUCUCAGACCCAUUUACCUCUGCAAUGAACCAGAACACCCCAUCAACACUGCUUCCUCAAAAUCACCCAUUCAAGAUGAAUUCCAGGUGUUCGACGAAUUGCAUACAUGGGACCCUUCCUCCGUUGAGAUUGAGAUUUCAGAUGCCACCUUCCAGAAUUGGGUCCAUCACAUUUCUUCUUUCAACUCUGUCCCAAGGGAUGAGGCUGACGAUAGUAGAGAUGUUUUAGCUAAUCCUAAAACAGGGGAACGUCCUCAGAGUUUCAAGAAGCUGCUACUUUUAUUUUCUGGAAAUGAUUACUUGGGGUUGAGCUCACAUCCUACUAUUGGAAAAGCUGCUGCUGCAAAGGCAGCGCUGAAACAUGGAAUGGGCCCUCGAGGUUCUGCUCUAAUAUGUGGAUAUACCAAUUACCAUCGGCUACUCGAGUCAUGCUUGGCAGACUUAAAAAGAAGAAAGAGGGUUUGCUGCUAAUAUCAAUAUGGCCUUGAUGGUAACGUUGGGCAAUGUUGGCUUUCUCCUGGCCUCUGCCUCUGCCUCAAAGCCUUUGGAGCAUGAAAGGGUUGCCAUUUUUUCUGAUGCGUUCAACCAUGCUUCAAUAAUUGAUGAUGGUAUUCGUCUUGCCCAGCCACAGUCUAGUGUAGAGGUUUUCAUCUAUAGACACUGCAACAUGACUCACCUUAAGAGACACUGUUGUAUGUCUUGCAAAUUUCUGCAACAUUUUUGGCUGUCUUCUUUUGAGUUUUUUCAUACACAUAUAAGUGUAUAUAUUUAUAUUUGGGAUACAUAAAUUUUUGCACAUAUUUUUAUGCCGUGAUGAACACUGUUAAAACUGGAAAAUAAAAAUAUUCCACCUAUGUAAAUAUAAUUUAUAACAUGUGCUUUAAUUUCAACCAUUUGAUCGAGCACUGUUUAUCUCGGUGUAAAAAUAUGUGUGCAUUGAACUUAUCCCUGUAUAUUCAUCUAUGUAUACAUCUAUUCUUACAUCAAAAUUACUUCUCUUG